rnacentral:rRNA from 1 species
AAUCUUCCGCAAUGGACGAAAGUCUGACGGAGCAACGCCGCGUGAGUGAUGAAGGNUUNNGGAUCNUNAAACUCUGUUGUUAGNNNNNAACAAGUAUCGGAGUCACUGCCGGUACCUUGACGGUACCUGACGAGAAAGCCACGGCUAACUACGUGCCAGCAGCCGCGGUAAUACGUAGGUGGCAAGCGUUGUCCGGAAUUACUGGGCGUAAAGGGUACGUAGGCGGCUAUAUAAGUCAGGUGUGAAAUACCAGUGCUUAACACUGGAAUUGCAUUUGAAACUGUGUAGCUUGAGUGCAGGAGAGGAAAGUGGAAUUCCUAGUGUAGCGGUGAAAUGCGUAGAGAUUAGGAGGAACACCAGUGGCGAAGGCGACUUUCUGGACUGUAACUGACGCUGAGGUACGAAAGCGUGGGUAGCGAACA